rnacentral:rRNA from 1 species
CUGGGUCUAAUACCGGAUAGGACCAUGGUUUAGUGUCUCAUGGUGGAAAGAUUAUUGUUUUGGUGCAGGAUGAGCUCGCGGCCUAUCAGCUUGUUGGUGGGGUAAUGGCCUACCAAGGCGUCGACGGGUAGCCGGCCUGAGAGGGUGGACGGCCACAUUGGGACUGAGAUACGGCCCAGACUCCUACGGGAGGCAGCAGUGGGGAAUAUUGCACAAUGGGCGCAAGCCUGAUGCAGCGACGCCGCGUGGGGGAUGACGGCUUCGGGUUGUAAACUCCUUUCGUUAGGGACGAAGCCGCACUUUUUUUGGGUGUGGAGACG